GAUUAAGUUAUUAAGGGCGCACGGUGGAUGCCUUGGCACUAGAAGCCGAUGAAGGACGUUACUAACGACGAUAUGCUUUGGGGAGCUGUAAGUAAGCUUUGAUCCAGAGAUUUCCGAAUGGGGAAACCCAGCAUGAGUUAUGUCAUGUUAUCGAUAUGUGAAUACAUAGCAUAUCAGAAGGCACACCCGGAGAACUGAAACAUCUUAGUACCCGGAGGAAGAGAAAGAAAAUUCGAUUCCCUUAGUAGCGGCGAGCGAAACGGGAAGAGCCCAAACCAACAAGCUUGCUUGUUGGGGUUGUAGGACACUCUAUACGGAGUUACAAAGGACGACAUUAGACGAAUCAUCUGGAAAGAUGAAUCAAAGAAGGUAAUAAUCCUGUAGUCGAAAAUGUUGUCUCUCUUGAGUGGAUCCUGAGUACGACGGAGCACGUGAAAUUCCGUCGGAAUCUGGGAGGACCAUCUCCUAAGGCUAAAUACUCUCUAGUGACCGAUAGUGAACCAGUACCGUGAGGGAAAGGUGAAAAGCACCCCGGAAGGGGAGUGAAAUAGAACCUGAAACCGUGUGCUUACAAGUAGUCAGAGCCCGUUAAUGGGUGAUGGCGUGCCUUUUGUAGAAUGAACCGGCGAGUUACGAUUUGAUGCAAGGUUAAGCAGUAAAUGUGGAGCCGUAGCGAAAGCGAGUCUGAAUAGGGCGUUUAGUAUUUGGUCGUAGACCCGAAACCAGGUGAUCUACCCUUGGUCAGGUUGAAGUUCAGGUAACACUGAAUGGAGGACCGAACCGACUUACGUUGAAAAGUGAGCGGAUGAACUGAGGGUAGCGGAGAAAUUCCAAUCGAACCUGGAGAUAGCUGGUUCUCUCCGAAAUAGCUUUAGGGCUAGCCUCAAGUGAUGAUUAUUGGAGGUAGAGCACUGUUUGGACGAGGGGCCCCUCUCGGGUUACCGAAUUCAGACAAACUCCGAAUGCCAAUUAAUUUAACUUGGGAGUCAGAACAUGGGUGAUAAGGUCCGUGUUCGAAAGGGAAACAGCCCAGACCACCAGCUAAGGUCCCAAAAUAUAUGUUAAGUGGAAAAGGAUGUGGCGUUGCCCAGACAACUAGGAUGUUGGCUUAGAAGCAGCCAUCAUUUAAAGAGUGCGUAAUAGCUCACUAGUCGAGUGACACUGCGCCGAAAAUGUACCGGGGCUAAACAUAUUACCGAAGCUGUGGAUUGUCCUUUGGACAAUGGUAGGAGAGCGUUCUAAGGGCGUUGAAGCAUGAUCGUAAGGACAUGUGGAGCGCUUAGAAGUGAGAAUGCCGGUGUGAGUAGCGAAAGACGGGUGAGAAUCCCGUCCACCGAUUGACUAAGGUUUCCAGAGGAAGGCUCGUCCGCUCUGGGUUAGUCGGGUCCUAAGCUGAGGCCGACAGGCGUAGGCGAUGGAUAACAGGUUGAUAUUCCUGUACCACCUAUAAUCGUUUUAAUCGAUGGGGGGACGCAGUAGGAUAGGCGAAGCGUGCGAUUGGAUUGCACGUCUAAGCAGUAAGGCUGAGUAUUAGGCAAAUCCGGUACUCGUUAAGGCUGAGCUGUGAUGGGGAGAAGACAUUGUGUCUUCGAGUCGUUGAUUUCACACUGCCGAGAAAAGCCUCUAGAUAGAAAAUAGGUGCCCGUACCGCAAACCGACACAGGUAGUCAAGAUGAGAAUUCUAAGGUGAGCGAGCGAACUCUCGUUAAGGAACUCGGCAAAAUGACCCCGUAACUUCGGGAGAAGGGGUGCUCUUUAGGGUUAACGCCCAGAAGAGCCGCAGUGAAUAGGCCCAAGCGACUGUUUAUCAAAAACACAGGUCUCUGCUAAACCGUAAGGUGAUGUAUAGGGGCUGACGCCUGCCCGGUGCUGGAAGGUUAAGAGGAGUGGUUAGCUUCUGCGAAGCUACGAAUCGAAGCCCCAGUAAACGGCGGCCGUAACUAUAACGGUCCUAAGGUAGCGAAAUUCCUUGUCGGGUAAGUUCCGACCCGCACGAAAGGCGUAACGAUUUGGGCACUGUCUCAACGAGAGACUCGGUGAAAUCAUAGUACCUGUGAAGAUGCAGGUUACCCGCGACAGGACGGAAAGACCCCGUGGAGCUUUACUGUAGCCUGAUAUUGAAAUUCGGCACAGCUUGUACAGGAUAGGUAGGAGCCUUUGAAACGUGAGCGCUAGCUUACGUGGAGGCGCUGGUGGGAUACUACCCUAGCUGUGUUGGCUUUCUAACCCGCACCACUUAUCGUGGUGGGAGACAGUGUCAGGCGGGCAGUUUGACUGGGGCGGUCGCCUCCUAAAAGGUAACGGAGGCGCUCAAAGGUUCCCUCAGAAUGGUUGGAAAUCAUUCAUAGAGUGUAAAGGCAUAAGGGAGCUUGACUGCGAGACCUACAAGUCAAGCAGGGUCGAAAGACGGACUUAGUGAUCCGGUGGUUCCGCAUGGAAGGGCCAUCGCUCAACGGAUAAAAGCUACCCCGGGGAUAACAGGCUUAUCUCCCCCAAGAGUUCACAUCGACGGGGAGGUUUGGCACCUCGAUGUCGGCUCAUCGCAUCCUGGGGCUGUAGUCGGUCCCAAGGGUUGGGCUGUUCGCCCAUUAAAGCGGUACGCGAGCUGGGUUCAGAACGUCGUGAGACAGUUCGGUCCCUAUCCGUCGUGGGCGUAGGAAAUUUGAGAGGAGCUGUCCUUAGUACGAGAGGACCGGGAUGGACAUACCUCUGGUGUACCAGUUGUCGUGCCAACGGCAUAGCUGGGUAGCUAUGUGUGGACGGGAUAAGUGCUGAAAGCAUCUAAGCAUGAAGCCCCCCUCAAGAUGAGAUUUCCCAACUUCGGUUAUAAGAUCCCUCAAAGAUGAUGAGGUUAAUAGGUUCGAGGUGGAAGCAUGGUGACAUGUGGAGCUGACGAAUACUAAUCGAUCGAAGACUUAAUCAA
rnacentral:rRNA from 1 species